UACGGGGGGGGUAAGCGUUGUUCGGAAUUACUGGGCGUAAAGGGCUCGUAGGCGGCCAACUAAGUCAGACGUGAAAUCCCUCAGCUUAACCGGGGAACUGCGUCUGAUACUGGAUGGCUUGAGUUUGGGAGAGGGAUGCGGAAUUCCAGGUGUAGCGGUGAAAUGCGUAGAUAUCUGGAGGAACACCGGUGGCGAAGGCGGGUCUCUGGGCCGAUACUGACGCUGAGGAGCGAAAGCGUGGGGAGCGAACAGGA
rnacentral:rRNA from 1 species